rnacentral:rRNA from 1 species
AACGAACGCUGGCGGCAUGCUUAACACAUGCAAGUCGAACGAGAACUUCGGGUCUAGUGGCGCACGGGUGCGUAACGCGUGGGAAUCUGCACUUAGGUACGGCAUAACUCAGAGAAAUUUGUGCUAAUACCGUAUGAUGUCGAAUGACCAAAGAUUUAUCGCAUCAGGGUGAGUCCGCGUAAGAUUAGCUUGUUGGUGAGGUAAAAGCUCACCAAGGCGACGAUCGUUAGCUGGUCUGAGAGGAUGAUAAGCAACACUGGGAGAGAGACACGGCCCGGACUCCUGCGGGAGGGAGCAAUGGUGAAUAUUGGACGAUGGGCGAAAGCCUGAGCCAUCAAUACCGCGUAGGUGAUGAAGGCCUUAAGAUUGUAAGGCUCUGUGAACAGGGAUAAUAAUGACAGUACCUUGAGAAUAAGCUCCGGCUAACUCCGUGCCAGCCGCCGCGGUAA